UAAAUUGUCCCUAGGUGUGAGUGUGAGUGCGAAUGGUUGUUCGUCUCUGUGUGCCCUGCGAUUGGCUGGCAACCGAUUCAGGGUGUCCCCCGCCUACUGCCCGAAGACGGCUGGGAUAGGCUCCAGCACCCCCCGCGACCCUAGUGAGGAUCAAGCGGCUCGGAAGAUGAAUGAAUGAAUGAAUGAAUGGAAUUUGAUGGUACGCGUCUUAAAAAAAAAAACCUAAUCAAAACAAACAAUUCAUGACUAUUAAUACCCCAGGUCUUAAACGGCUCUUAACCUCCUCAUGAACCAGCCUUGAUUGAAUCCUGACUGAAACAAAAGACGAGCGUGAUCUUCACGAUGUGAGAUUUAUAAAGAUCACCAGCGCCCAUUUGCACCGUAUUUCGGAGCUGUGCGUUCCCGAUGUCGGUUUCAUAACUGUUCCUUGACAUAGUAAAGCAGCCCUUCCGCGAUCCACGGUUUAUGUAAGGCAAACUGUUUUCUGUGUCUUCUGUCGGGGCGUCGCUUUCCUACAAAGCAGUUUGUCACUCGGAAUCAAAUCACGGGCGGAUUCGCAAUUUAGCCACCGAGCACUUCCACCCAGCUGCAAAUUAGGACAGUUUGUGCAACGAGGUCGCUGGAAAUGGGUUAGCGAUGUCACCGGGCAACGAAACGGAAUCCGUUUCAUAUUGACCGCGCUUGAGAAAGAUUGUUUGUUUCCUUUCCAUUCUUUUUCCAUGUGCCACCUUGUAUGUUUUGCACGAUGAGCAAAUGUCUCCCAACGAUGCCGCACGAGCAGCCCAUGAGAGACGUGUGUCGGAGUAGCUCAUCGCCGGCAAAGUUUCCAUGAAUGAAGUGACUCAUCUGGGAUGUCAAACACGGCGUCGCCCUCGGGCUGCGCCACUCAACGUGUACAAUGGUGAAAGUCUUCAUCAAGCCAUCUGCUAAGAGGCAGGAAAGCCAGCACAGCGGUGCCCUGUGGACCAGAGUGAAUCCAGACCGCUAGACCUGAUAUUGGGAAUUUGGCAGACGAAGGCAAGCCGGCGGACCUGCAAGAGGGAGGGCUCUGCCGAUGUGGAACAGUUUGAGCACUUCAGCCGCUUUCUCGGAUCUGUGCUCGCGUAGAUGUCGCUGGAUGUCGCGGAUCCAAGCCACCCGCUUGACGUACGGGCUGCGGUCCCGUUUGCGCAGCAUCGCCGGCAGCUUGUCGGACUUCAAUAUCAAC